AGCGAACGUUAGCGGCGGGCCUAACACAUGCAAGUCGAGCGAGAAAAGGGCUUCGGCCCUGAGUAAAGCGGCGGACGGGUGAGUAACACGUAGGUAAUCUUCCCUUGAGCGGGGGACAACAAGCCGAAAGGCUUGCUAAUACCGCAUAAGUUUCUCGGGACCCCGGUCCUGGGAAGGAAAGCUAGGUAGCAAUAUCCGGCACUCGAGGAGGGGCCUGCGUAGCAUCAGCUAGUUGGUGGGGUAAUGGCCUACCAAGGCGAAGACGCUUAGCUGGUCUGAGAGGAUGAUCAGCCACACUGAAACUGAGACACGGUUCAGACUCCUACGGGAGGCAGCAGUGGGGAAUAUUGGACAAUGGGCGCAAGCCUGAUCCAGCCACGCCGCGUGAGUGAUGAAGGCCUUCGGGUCGUAAAGCUCUGUGGGGAGGGACGAACCGCCGUUGGUGCAUAGCCAACGGCAUGACGGUACCUCCUUAGCAAGCACCGGCUAACUUCGUGCCAGCAGCCGCAGUAA
rnacentral:rRNA from 1 species